AUUGAACGCUGGCGGCAGGCCCAACACAUGCAAGUCGAGCGGAUGAGAGGAGCUUGCUUCUCGAUUCAGUGGCGGACGGGUGAGUAAUGCCUAGGAAUCCGCCUGGUAGUGGGGGACAACGUUUCGAAAGGAACGCUAAUACCGCAUACGUCCUACGGGAGAAAGCAGGGGACCUUAGGGCCUUGCGCGAUCAGAUGAGCCUAGGUCGGAUUAGCUAGUUGGUGAGGUAAUGGCUAACCACGGCGACGAUCCGUAACUGGUCUGAGAGGAUGAUCAGUCACACUGGAACUGAGACACGGUCCAGACUCCUACGGGAGGCAGCAGUGGGGAAUAUUGGACAAUGGGCGAAAGCCUGAUCCAGCCAUGCCGCGUGUGUGAAGAAGGUCUUCGGAUUGUAAAGCACUUUAAGUUGGGAGGAAGGGUUGUAGAUUAAUACUCUGCAAUUUUGACGUUACCGACAGAAUAAGCACCGGCUAACUCUGUGCCAGCAGCCGCGGUAAUAC
rnacentral:rRNA from 1 species